GAUGAACGCUGGCGGCGUGCCUAACACAUGCAAGUCGAACGAAGCGCCUGGCCCCGACUUCUUCGGAACGAGGAGCCUUGCGACUGAGUGGCGGACGGGUGAGUAACGCGUGGGCAACCUGCCUUGCACUGGGGGAUAACAGCCACGAAAUAGGCGUGCUAAUACCGCCAUAAGACCGAACGACGCCGCCAUAGGCGGCGGCGGCCGAAACGACCCGGCCGGUGC
rnacentral:rRNA from 1 species